rnacentral:rRNA from 1 species
GAUGAACGCUGGCGGCGUGCUUAACACAUGCAAGUCGAGCGAUGAAGCACCUUCGGGUGUGAAUUAGCGGCGAACGGGUGAGGAACACGUGAGAAAUCUGCCUUCAACACUGGGAUAACUCCGGGAAACCGGGGCUAAUACCGGAUAUGAAACCUGCGGGCAUCCGCGGGUUUGGAAAGUUUUUCGGUUGAAGAUGAUCUCGCGGCCUAUCAGCUUGUUGGUGAGGUAAUGGCCCACCAAGGCGACGACGGGUAGCCGGCCUGAGAGGGCGACCGGCCACACUGGGACUGAGACACGGCCCAGACUCCUACGGGAGGCAGCAGUGGGGAAUAUUGGGCAAUGGAGGAAACUCUGACCCAGCGACGCCGCGUGCGGGAUGAAGGCCUUCGGGUUGUAAACCGCUUUCAGCAGGGAAGAAGCGAAAGUGACGGUACCUGCAGAAGAAGCACCGGCUAACUAUGUGCCAGCCGCCGCAGUAA